GAUCCGCAAGAGUCGGCCCGGGGAAUUCAGCCUAGCAAAGCCGGGAGCUGCCGGGGACCAAUUGCCGAUCCCUUCUGAGGGACGGACGGACCCCGGCUCGGCGACCGGUGCGAAGGUGCACUUUCUCCGGCGUCGAGCGCCACGACCGGUUCGGCGGCGGUCAGAAGCCCGGCGGGAAGGUAGCCCGUCUCUCUCGUAGAGCACGGGUGUUACAGCCCGUCCGUGUGCGGACCCGCUGCUGGACCGAGGACGCCCGCCGCGAGACGCGGCCCCGGAGGUCUUGCCUCGCGCUGUCGACUUCGGCUGCACUGGACGCAGUGCGCCGUAACUGCGUGCGUUGCAUGGAUGCCGGGUGCCUGUUUUGCUAAGGGUCAGUGGCGAAUCGGUCGGUCCCCACCCGACCCGUCUUGAAACACGGACCAAGGAGUCUAACAUGUGCGCGAGUCACAGGGUCUACCGAAACCCGAAGGCGCAAUGAAAGUAAAGGGGGAGCUCUGUCUCCCCCGUGAAGGCAAGAUCCCGAGCUUCGGCGAGGGCGCACUGCCGGCCCGUCUCUAUGCGGCAUCGUCCGCGAGGCGGAGCUAGAGCGCACACGUUGGGACCCGAAAGAUGGUGAACUAUGCCUGAGUAGGACGAAGUCAGGGGAAACUCUGAUGGAGGUCCGUAGCGAUUCUGACGUGCAAAUCGAUCGUCAAACUUUGGUAUAGGGGCGAAAGACUA
rnacentral:rRNA from 1 species